GAUACAUCUAACACAAUCAGAGAUAUUGCUUUGGUAUUUGCAGAAAAAGUCACAUACCCUUUUCCACUUGUGAUAUUUUUUCUCAGUUUGAAAGUUGGAAUUCGAGACUUCUCAUUUUUUGGGAUGACCUGGCUAAACCAAAACCCAUUGCUCACAUACCCAGUAUAAUGAUCCUGUUGCUCCAUGGUCAUGGUCGAGUUCCUUUCUUGUCCACUGUAACCAAGUCCUUGGAUUGGACUUUUCCAAUAUAUUUUAUUCCCCUGCUUGAUGAUUAGAUUACAAGGACCUAACCCAGAAAAAUUGGCCACCAGAGAGAAAUUGCCUGGAGUAGGGUCUUCUUUGCUGCUCCAUGACACUAAUGUCCAAACGUGUUCCGGAUUAAAUCUAAAAUCAUCUCCAAGGUUCAUUCCAGGCAGAAGUGUAUCAGUGGGGUAGUCAAAGCUUUGCCAAUAAAUUCCUGCCUUUUUGACUUGGCCUUCGAGUAUCAAGUUACCUGAAUCUAGCAGCCUGGCAAAGGCGUUGCCACUAACUGAAGUAUUUGUCACUUUAUA
rnacentral:misc_RNA from 1 species